rnacentral:tRNA from 1 species
GCGGGUGUGACGAAAUUGGUAGACGUAUCAGAUUUAGAUUCUGACAGAGAAAUAUCUCUAUGGGAGUUCAAGUCUCUUCAUCCGUA